GACGUAGGGCGCAAGCGUUGUCCGGAAUUAUUGGGCGUAAAGGGCUCGUAGGCGGUUUGUCGCGUCGGGAGUGAAAACACCGGGCUUAACUCGGUGCUUGCUUUCGAUACGGGCAGACUAGAGGCAUGCAGGGGAGAACGGAAUUCCUAGUGUAGCGGUGAAAUGCGCAGAUAUCAGGAGGAACACCGGUGGCGAAGGCGGUUCUCUGGGCAUGUCCUGACGCUGAGGAGCGAAAGUGUGGGGAGCGAACAGG
rnacentral:rRNA from 1 species